rnacentral:rRNA from 1 species
UACAGAGGGUGCAAGCGUUGUUCGGAAUUAUUGGGCGUAAAGCGCGUGUAGGCGGCUUUGCAAGUCGGGUGUGAAAUCCCUCAGCUUAACUGAGGAAGUGCGCCCGAAACUGCCGAGCUUGAGUACCGGAGAGAGUGGCGGAAUUCCCCAAGUAGAGGUGAAAUUCGUAGAUAUCUGGAGGAAUACCGGUGGCGAAGGCGGCAUCCUGGACCGGCAUUGACGCUGAUGAGCGAAAGCUAGGGGAGCAAACGGGG